UACGUAGGGUGCGAGCGUUAAUCGGAAUUACUGGGCGUAAAGCGUGCGCAGGCGGCUUCGCAAGUCAGGCGUGAAAUCCCCGGGCUUAACCUGGGAAUGGCGUCUGAAACUACGGAGCUGGAGUGUGGCAGAGGGAGGUAGAAUUCCACGUGUAGCGGUGAAAUGCGUAGAUAUGUGGAGGAAUACCGAUGGCGAAGGCAGCCUCCUGGGCCAACACUGACGCUCAUGCACGAAAGCGUGGGGAGCAAACAGGAUUAGAACC
rnacentral:rRNA from 1 species